rnacentral:rRNA from 1 species
UACAGAGACUGCAAGCGUUAUUCGGAUUCACUGGGCGUAAAGGGUGCGCAGGUGGCCAAGUGUGUUAGGCGUGAAAGCCCGGGGCUUAACCCCGGAAUUGCACCUAAAACUACAUGGCUAGAGCAUUGGAGAGGGGAGCAGAAUUCACGGUGUAGCAGUGAAAUGCGUAGAUAUCGUGGAGGAAUACCAGAGGCGAAGGCGGCUCCCUGGACAAUUGCUGACACUCAGGCACGAAAGCGUGGGGAGCAAAAGGG